rnacentral:rRNA from 1 species
CCUACGGGGGGCAGCAGUGGGGAAUAUUGCACAAUGGGGGAAACCCUGAUGCAGCGACGCCGCGUGAGUGAAGAAGUAUUUCGGUAUGUAAAGCUCUAUCAGCAGGGAAGAAAAUGACGGUACCUGAUUAAGAAGCCACGGCUAAAUACGUGCCAGCAGCCGCGGUAAUCCGUAGGGGGCAAGCGUUAUCCGGAUUUACUGGGUGUAAAGGGGGCGUAGACGGGGAUGCAAGUCAGAAGUGAAAGCCCGGGGCUCAACUCCGGGACUGCUUUUGAAACUGUGUGACUGGAGUGCAGGAGAGGUAAGCGGAAUGCCUGGUGUAGCGGUGAAAUGCGUAGAUAUCAGGAGGAACACCAGUGGCGAAGGCAGCAUACUGGACUGUAACUGACGUUGAGGCUCGAAAGCGUGGGGAGCGAACAGGAUUAGAUACCCGGGUAGUC